GACUACAGGGGUAUCUAAGCCCGUUCGCUCCCCUAGCUUUCGCGCCUCAGUGUCAGACACCGUCCAGAAAGCCGCCUUCGCCACUGGUGUUCCUCCCCAUAUCUACGCAUUUCACCGCUACACGGGGAAUUCCGCUUUCCUCUCCGGUACUCAAGAAUCCCAGUUUCCAUCCCAUCACGGAGUUAAGCUCCGAACUUUCAGAACAGACUUAAGAUCCCACCUGCGCGCGCUUUACGCCCAAUAAUUCCGGACAACGCUUGCCACCUACGUAUUACCGCGGCUGCUGGCACGUAGUUAGCCGUGGCUUCCUUCUUGGGUACCGUCACUCCGCUCCCAUUUCCUGAAGCGGUCGUUCGUCCCCAAUGACAGAGCUUUACGACCCAAGGGCCUUCAUCACUCACGCGGCGUCGCUCCGUCAGACUUUCGUCCAUUGCGGAAGAUUCCCCACUGCAGCCGCCCGUAGG
rnacentral:rRNA from 1 species